UACAGAGGUGGCAAGCGUUGCUCGGUAUCACUGGGCUUAAAGCGCGUGUAGGCGGACUGGUGUGUCGGAUGUGAAAUCCCCAGGCUCAACCUGGGAACUGCAUUCGAAACUGCCAGCCUUGAGUGGUGGAGAGGGAAGUGGAAUUCCUGGUGUAGAGGUGAAAUUCGUAGAUAUCAGGAGGAACACCAGUGGCGAAGGCGGCUUCCUGGACACCAACUGACGCUGAGACGCGAAAGCGUGGGGAGCAAACAGG
rnacentral:rRNA from 1 species